rnacentral:misc_RNA from 1 species
UACGGAGGGGGCUAGCGUUGUUCGGAAUUACUGGGCGUAAAGCGCACGUAGGCGGAUCGGUCAGUCAGAGGUGAAAUCCCGAAGCUCAACUUCGGAACUGCCUUUGAUACUGCUGGGCUAGAGUCCGGGAGAGGUGAGUGGAAUUCCUAGUGUAGAGGUGAAAUUCGUAGAUAUUCGGAGGAACACCAGUGGCGAAGGCGGCUCACUGGCUCGAUACUGACGCUGAGGUGCGAAAGCGUGGGGAGCAAACAGG